AUGCUGGGGAAUGGGCAAAGACUCGCAGACUGGAAGGACUUUAGGACAGACCCCCAACCUGAAACCUGGAGUGGCGGGACCACACGUGUGAACUGGGGACGACUGGAGGUUUUUGAAGGACAAAGGGCAGAGAAGUGCCCCGACAUGAAGCUAGGUCGGGACAAGCCAGAGCAUGUCACCCCCUACCGCUGUGGUGGUCGCUCAAGUUCUGUCGUCCGGGUCCAUGCCGCCCUUUGCUGUUGCGGCCACCGUGGGACCACGGCAGCACUCGUGGUGCUCCUGUCCUUGUUGGUGGCGGGUGUUUUGGGGAACGAGUUUAGUAUAUUAAGAUCACCAGGGUCUGUUGUUUUCCGAGAUGGAAAUUGGUCUUUACCAUUAGAGCGAAUCCUAGACAUGGCUGCAUUGUCCAUGGGCUUCUCUGUUAAAGAAGACCUUUCUUGGUCAGGACUUGCGGUGGGUAACCUGUUCGAUCGUCCUAGGGCUACCAUUAUGGUGCUGGUGAAGGGAGUAGACAAACUCGCUCUACCCCCAGGCAGUGUAAUUUCGUACCCUUUGGAGAAUGCAGUUCCUUUUAGUCUUGACAGCGUUCAAAUUCCAUUCACUCCUUAUUUUCUGAAGAAACUCCUGUAAUUUUGCAGUUGGCUCCCAGUGAGGAGAGAGUGUAUAUGGUGGGGAAGGUGAACUCAGUUUUUGAAGAUCUCUCCAUAAUAUUAGGACAGCUCCGCAAUUGCCUGUUCCAGGAAAACUGUUCUCAAUUCACUUCCCCUUAAUUCUCUGAGUAGGAACAAUGAAGUUGAUCUGCUCUAUCUUUCUGAAUUGCAAGUGCUACAUGAUAUUUCAAGUUUGUUGUCUCGACAUAAGCAUCUAGCCAAGGAUCAUUCUCCUGAUUUAUAUUUGCUGGAGCUGGCAGUUUUGGAUGAAAUUGGGAAACAUUAUGGGGAAGAUUCUAUACAAUUCAGAGAUGCGUCCAAGAUCCUUGUUUAUGCUCUGCAAAAGUUCGCAGAUGACAUGUACAACCUUUAUGGUGGGAAUGCAGUGGUGGAGUUAGUGACUGUCCGAUCAUUUGACACAUCUCUCGUCAGGAAGACAAGGACUAUUCUUGAGGCAAAACAAGUGAAGAACCCAUCAAGCCCCUAUAACCUCGCAUAUAAAUAUAACCUUGAGUAUCCAGUGGUUUUCAACAUGGUACUUUGGAUAAUGAUCAACUUGGCCUUGGCUGUGAUUAUCACCUCUUACAAUAUCUGGAACAUGGAUCCUGGAUAUGACAGCAUUAUUUAUAGGAUGACAAACCAGAAGAUUCGAAUGGAUUGAACUCUCCUCAUGCCAAACUUAGAAAAGGGGUUUGGAAAUUGGCUGUUUUGUUAAAUCUUUCAGUGUAGUUUAAAAGUAGAUGGUAUACUUUAAAUUUAUAAAAAAGAAAAAAGCAAAUUUUGUUCUCCAUGUGCCUAUGAUGUUCUUUUAGAAUGAAUUAUAGUACUGAUGUGAAUUGAUUUGUGUGCUAUAGAUUCCAUAAUAUGCUCAAAUAUGAUAUAACCAUUUAAUAUAAUUUCAUUCCAUUUAACACUUGGAAAUGUGCAGUGAAAUAAAUGUAAAACAUUUAGAAUAACUUGUGUUAUUUAUAUUGGGGAAAAUGCACUGAAUUUAUUAGACAAACUUAGGAGUGCUUAACUUCCUUACACAGGACAGGUGAAAAUGACACUUGGGCUGUUCUAUACCAUGAACCAUUUGUAAAUGUCUUAAUUUGAUGUAAAUAUCUCUGAAACAGAAGGUAUUUAACUUCAAGUAGCCCUAAACUGUGGGAGUACUUACAUAAUGACUGAGAUUGAGAACUGCAUCUGAUUGACAGAGGGUGGCUGUUUUUUAACCUCUUCUGAAACUUUGGUGAUCCAGACCACAAGGUGGAUAUUAAAAAUACUACAUUGAU